rnacentral:rRNA from 1 species
GACGAACGCUGGCGGCGUGCUUAACACAUGCAAGUCGAACGAUGAACCCGGAGCUUGCUCCGGCGGAUUAGUGGCGAACGGGUGAGUAACACGUGAGUAACCUGCCCUUGACUCUGGGAUAACUGCUAGAAAUGGUAGCUAAUACCGGAUACGACCCUCGGCGGCAUCGCCAGGGGGUGGAAAGAAUUUCGGUCAAGGAUGGAAUCGGUGCCUGUCAGCUAGUUGGGGAGGUAACGGCUCAACAAGGCGACGACGGGUAGCCGGACUGAGAGGGUGACCGGCCCCACUGGAACGGAGACCAGGCCCAGACUCCUACGGGAGGCAGCAGUGGGGAAUAUUGCACAAUGGGCGCAAGCCUGAUGCAGCACCGCCGCGUGAGGGAUGACGGCAUUCGGGUUGUAAACCUCUUUUAGUAGGGAAGAAGCGAAAGUGACGGUACCUGCAGAAAAAGCACCGGCUAACUACGUGCCAGCAGCCGCCGUAA